rnacentral:tRNA from 1 species
GAAGCGGUGGCUCAAUGGUAGAGCUUUUGACUCCAAUUAUCACUUAGUUGUCAUCAAAGGGUUGCAGGUUCAAUUCCUGUCCGUUUCA